CGACCGGCGCACGGGUGAGUAACACGUAUGCAAUCCACCUGUAACAGGGGGAUAACCCGGAGAAAUCCGGACUAAUACCCCAUAAUAUGGGCUCUCCGCAUGGAGGGUCCAUUAAAGAGAGCAAUUUUGGUUACAGACGAGCAUGCGCUCCAUUAGCCAGUUGGCGGGGUAACGGCCCACCAAGACGAUGAUAGGUAGGGGUUCUGAGAGGAAGGUCCCCCACAUUGGAACUGAGACACGGUCCAA
rnacentral:rRNA from 1 species